rnacentral:rRNA from 1 species
CGUAGGGCGCAAGCGUUGUCCGGAAUUAUUGGGCGUAAAGAGCUCGUAGGCGGUUUGUCGCGUCUGCUGUGAAAGCCCGGGGCUCAACCCCGGGUCUGCAGUGGGUACGGGCAGACUAGAGUGCAGUAGGGGAGACUGGAAUUCCUGGUGUAGCGGUGAAAUGCGCAGAUAUCAGGAGGAACACCGAUGGCGAAGGCAGGUCUCUGGGCUGUUACUGACGCUGAGGAGCGAAAGCAUGGGAGCGAACAGGAUU